UGGUCGGUAGACGGCCGGCUGACGUUCAGCAGGCCUGCAACGCCUCCAGGCCGCGUCCUGGCCGGCUGGGUCCUGCCCGGCUUC
rnacentral:tRNA from 1 species